CAGCCAUAAGCACAUCGUCCCCAGAGGCACCGAGGAGCCAGGGAGCCUGCAUCUGACGGAUGAUGUUGGGCCGGGGCAGCUUCCUCCUGGUCCUGCCCGCCUCCCCUGCCCACUGGUCACAUGGGGGACCGGGGGCAGGGCCAAGGCCCCCGCCACAGGGUUAGCAGAGGGGGCAGGGAGCCCGAGCGCUCCCUCCAGGCUGUGUCCGAGGAAGGAUCCCAGGCCGGCCUCUGGGCGGCAGAGACGGCGGUGUCCUCCCCGGGUCCCAGAUGCUGAUCUCCUGUUACUGGAAAACAGGAAUUAGCUUGUCUGCUUGAGGAUGUGGUUGGUUCUUUAUAAAAAGGAUACACAAGAAAUUUGCACAUAGUCUGCCAGCUUCAUUAUGCUGCCGACAGCUUCCAACAAAAGAAGAACAUUUGCAGCCAGAUAUUUCGGCUACAAGUCUGAGAUCAAGGUAUCAGCAAGAUUGGUUUCUUCAGAGCUCUACCUACCCCCCACCGCCUUAGCUUGCAGAUGGCAUCUUCUCCCUGUGUCUUCCUCUGUGUGCGUCUGGGUCCCAAUUUCUUCUUCUAACCAGUUAUGUUGGACUAGGACCUAAUCACUUCAUUUUAACUUAAUUAC
rnacentral:lncRNA from 1 species